rnacentral:lncRNA from 1 species
GUUGAUCCUUAACAGACACCUGCUAUGAGAAGAGGAGGUGUCCAUCCCAGCCUGCAGGUGACAUGUUCCUCAGUGUAUGAUGAAGCAGUGUCACUGAAGUCUCUUCAUCAAAUGAGCUCCUGAGUCAGUUAUCUGGCUGCACAGCCAGGAACCCUGAGUCAUUCUGGACACCUCCUUUUGUCUUAACCCUGAGUCCAUCCCAUCAUUAAUCACUCCAAGAAUAGCUACAAUCUGUCCCCCUCUCCCCACUACCCCCAUGUAGUGACUGACUGUCACCCAGACUACCCAGAGUCUCCUAACUGGUCCUCCCACCCUCUCUCUAUAUUCUGCACAUGGAAUUUCACAUUUACUCAUGCACAUAUGUGACCCCACACACAGGUUGCUUAAAGCCC